UGACAUGACACACGGGAUUGCUUGGCAUCUAUGGCGAGGAAGGACGUAAGAGAAGACGAGAAGCAUGAGGUGUCUGAAUGACACGGAGACGUGAGGAGACCCCCUUGACUUAAGCAUAUCAGUAAGGGGAGGAGAAGAAACCAAAUGGGAUGUCCUGAGUAGCGGCGAGUGAAGUGGACGAAGUCUAUGUGGUAACUGCGCAAGCAGGUUGUGUAGUAACGCUUUUAGCAGCAGAAAUCAAUAGGAAAGUUGAUGGCGGAGAGGGGGAAUGACCUGUAUGCAUGCUUAGUGAUUAAUGAAGAGUAGGGCUGCUUGGGAGUGCAGUCUGAAAAGGGUGGUGGUUUCCAUCGAAGACUAAAUAUGGUAGAUGACCGAUAGAGAAGAAGUAGGGAGACCGAAAGCAGAAGAAAGGAAGGAUGAAGAAUGAAAGUGUGUGAAUGUAUGGGAGUGAUUGCCA
rnacentral:rRNA from 1 species